UACGGGGGGAGCAAGCGUUGUUCGGAUUUACUGGGCGUAAAGGGCGCGUAGGCGGCGUGACAAGUCACUUGUGAAAUCUCCGGGCUUAACUCGGAACGGUCAAGUGAUACUGUCGUGCUAGAGUGCGGAAGGGGCAACUGGAAUUCUUGGUGUAGCGGUGAAAUGCGUAGAUAUCAAGAGGAACACCGGUGGCGAAGGCGGGUCUCUGGGCAACAACUGACGCUGAGGAGCGAAAGCGUGGGGAGCGAACAGG
rnacentral:rRNA from 1 species